UAGGAUGAGAGCAGAGACUCAGUGUG
rnacentral:piRNA from 1 species